CCUACGGGGGGCUGCAGUGGGGAAUAUUUGACUGUUUUGACGUUACCGACAGAAUAAGCACCGGCUAACUUCGUGCCAGCAGCCGCGGUAAUACGAAGGGUGCAAGCGUUAAUCGGAAUUACUGGGCGUAAAGCGCGCGUAGGUGGUUCGUUAAGUUAGGAGUGAAAGCCCCGGGCUCAACCUGGGAAUUGCUUCUAAAACUGGCGGGCUAGAGUACAGUAGAGGAUGGUGGAAUUUCCUGUGUAGCGGUGAAAUGCGUAGAUAUAGGAAGGAACAUCAGUGGCGAAGGCGACCAUCUGGACUGAUACUGACACUGAGGUGCGAAAGCGUGGGGAGCAAACAGGCUUAGAUACCCCUGUAGUC
rnacentral:rRNA from 1 species